AAUAAAGAGCAAAUAAGGACAGAAAAGAAACAAGACGGUGCCUUUUGUGUUUGUUGUAAUAUUUUUAAAAUUUUCCCGUUCUCCUUCUGCAGUAGGCCUGAAAGGUCACAAGGUAAGUGUUUUUCAUUCAUAUCCCUGAGCUGAAGGUAUCUGGAGAUGAUAAAACUUUUUUUUUUUUUUUUUUUUUGUUCUCCCUUUUCCUUUCAAAUCCUCCUGUCAAGGUGCCCAGAACAAUGCUUCUGGAGCAGAUGGAGAAGGCAUGCAAAGCCAUGCUGGGAAACCACGUUUCCAGAAAUGGUGUCUGUGUGAGCCCUGUCUUCUACAGCAAGAGCCACCUGGGGAAGCCUACCAUGCCGUCCUCUCUAUCCUGCACACAUGUCCAACAGGGCCCUUAACACCUGGCCAUGCCUAACACUUAUUAAGUUGGCACCUGCUUCUAGAGACCCCAUGCUUUUUACCUGGAGGCCAACAAAGGAUGUCACCACCAGGCUCUAGCCCGAUGGUGGUGCUGGGAAGAAUCUUGAGAUAGUAGCCACGUCUGCAGCCAACAUCAAUGCUGUCACUCUAAGGAACAAGACACUGCAGGCCGCCCCAGAAAAACAGAUGUAUUUGUCUGGUGUCUGCAGGCCCCUUAAACCAGAAGGUAAGGAUUUGAUGGAAAGUGCCUAAGACUCCACAGAUUCUCUUUCAGUGUCAGAGACUGUCGUCUUAUAAUGGAUGUUGCAAUCUGUAUUACUCAAUUAUACCUCCAGACUAAAUGGAUCAGAGGAAAACAACCAACAGCAUUAAACAGUGUUCACACCAUACCACGGCUGUGCCAUUUCAUUAUCUUAUUUAGACCCCACAGCCAGGACUAGAUGGGUAUGAUUAAAAAAUAGUCAAUCCUAUGGUAGUUAUAGUUUUAGUUUUUUGAAGAACCUCCAGGCUGUUUUCCAUAGUGGUUGCACCAACAUACAUUCCCACCAACAGUGUAAGAGGGUUCCCUUUUCUCCACACCCUCUCCAGCAUUUAUUGUUUGUAGACAUUUUGAUGACAGCCAUUCUCUACCAUGUGAUCCAGGAAUCCUAAUCCAGAGAAAACCAUAAUUCAAAAGGAUACAUGUAUCCCAAUGUCCAUUGCAGCACUAUUACAAUAGCCAAGACAUGGAAGCAACCUAAACGUCCAUCAACAGAGGAAUGGAUAAAGAAGAUGUGGUACAUAUACACAAAGGAAUAUAAGUCAGCCACAAAAAAGAAUGAAAUGAUACCAUUUGCAACAAUAUGGAUGGACCUAGAGACUAUCAUCCUAAACGAAGUGAGUCAGACAGUGAAAGACAAACACCACAUGAUAUCACCUAUAUGUGGAAUCCAAAAAAGGAUACAAAUGAACUUAGUUGCAGAAUGGAAACAGACUCACAUACUCUGAAAAAUUUAUGGUUUCCAAAAAGGUGGCAGGGAGGGACUGGGGGUUUGGGAUUGGCCUAUGCAUACUGAAGUACAUGAAUGAUUGGCCAAUGGGGACCUGCUCUAUAGCACAAGGAACUCUACCCAGUAUUCUGUGAUCUAUGUGGGGAAAGAAUCUGAGAGAGAAUGGAUGCGUAUGCAUGUAUAGCUGGGUCACUUUGCUGUAUAGCAGAAAUUAUCACAACCUUGUAAAUUAACUAUUCUUCAAUAAAACUUUAAAACAAACAGUCCAUCCUGGGGUGGGGGAGGUCUCUGGAAAGGGGCCCAUAAAUAGCACCCUGCUUCACGUGAGAUCUGAACAACUGAAAAACAAAACAAAGGAGUAGCAGCGGGAGGCCAAAAUAAAAACUUUAUUCCCAAUAAAGGCCCACUGACAAGACACUGCUUAGUGUGAGUGCCCCAGAGGUACGCAGAAUUGCUCUCCCAGGCAGAGGGAUGCUGGACCUGGGAAGAUGGCCUGUUCCGUGGAGAGGGGGAAGAGGUCACAUGCCUCCUGCAGGCAGGCAGACAGCUCCCCAGAAAGCAAGGGGAGUGGUAUUUUUCCUAAAUGUGCCAAUCCACUAAAUCACCCCACUGGAGCAAGUGAGUCAAACAAGGAGAGGACCCGGAACGCCACACCUCCUGCACAGAAAGAACCAUCAGGAGUGGGGAGCAAGCUCUCCCUCCCCAGCACUGCCGCAGGAUGCGGCAACUGACCAGCGAGACAUUAGGAGGUUUCACUCAUGCUACUCAGUUAGCAAAAGGUGAUGCCACAGCUCUGGAUGGCCAAACCCAAGGAUACCACAUCAGCUACGGAGAGUCACUCCGAAGGACAGAAGGACAGUCAUCAGCCACUUCCCACCACUGUCCACGAGCCACCUCCUCCCCUAGCUUGGCUUCUCAAGUUUCAUUCGUCUGCCAACACUCUCCUUCUCGAAGCUGAUGUUUAACGCUGUCUAAUCACCACCCAGCACACUCACGGAAGACCUAUGUCAGAGAAGGUAACUCCAAGUUCUUCACAGCUCAAUCUGCAGGAGAAGCCUGCUCUGGAGGACUUGGUGGCUCAUUUACAGCCCAACCCCUCCUUAUUUGUCUUGGCCUCGUAUGCAGCCUUGCCUUCCUCCAGCUUGACACUGGAGAAGGAAUUUCAGAAAAUCCUCUCUUCUAGUUACUAAAGGGAUGUUAUCGAAAACACUAUCCAUUUUGUUGUUUGGUCUCCUGUAAUCAACACACACAUACACACACUGCUUUUAGCCAUUUGAGCUGUGUUUUUUCCUAGUUAGGAUACUCUUUGCCUAAGGUCCCUACAAUCAAUGUACAUUCUGUUAUAAAUCAUGCCAGUAAACUGUGUUUCCCUUUUUAAUGUGGUCAUCAGGAAACUCAAAACCAAAUCUGUGGUUCAAUGUCAAACAGUGUAAGUCAAUGAAGCUCAUGUAACCCCAACUUCUCCCUCUCCUGAAACUCUCCCUCUUACCCCCCCACCUCGUGUCUAUUUAUAUUCUCCAGACAACAACAUUUGUGCUCUCUUACUAGGUAUUCUUGGAGGAAAUAGCAAAUUCCAUGGAAAGACAGAGAUGAAAUGCAUCCUUAAUUUUCUUCAUUAAUUUAUAAUGAAUUAAUUUCAAAUUUCAAAAAAUAUUCAACAAAUACACACUGCCUGGGUGUUUUAAUUUUAGACUCAGAACAUAAAAUCCUAUUUCAUCCAAAUUUCCGAGUAUUUAACAAGUUUUCAUCUUGUUCACCAAAUUUGUACAAUUAGAAUUGUUUUUUUUUUUUAUCCGGUUGCUGACUCAUAAAUUUUUAUUACAUUCUAUUUUUCAACACAGUGAUUCUUAAACUUGUUUUCUUGUAUCACUUAGCUAAUUCACAGUGUUAAGAGAAGCAUUCAGAGAACGAAGCAUUUGACCCAGGUUAAUUCUGUUUUAUUUCUACAAGUCUAUUCUAGACUUAAACUCAUUGCAUGUUUUAUUUUACCACUUUAUAUGCCAUGGAAAAAAUCUUGACUGUUCGUAAAUUUUGACAAAAGACCCUCACUAAACUUAUCUUCCAAAGACUCUCUGUUGGCAUCUUCAGCUAAGUGUAAUCUCCUUUAUACCCCAUUGCCUCUUGAGAUGGGAAGGGACUUUUUUCGGUUCUUGUUUUGGUUAGUGUUUUCCCCCAGAAAUAUCAACUGUUGCUGUCACUCUGACCAAAGUAGGUUAUCUCAUUGUUGGUUCCAUAAGCCAAGCUUAUUUCUUGCAAAAUAUUUUUUAAUAAUCCAAAGUCCAACCACUAGAACAGUUGUCAUCAGUUUGGCCUUCAAUAACAGAAGCAAAAGGGACAGAAAAUAUCCCUUUAUUUUCUACAUCUUUAUAGAUAAAGAACAUUUAAGAGCAUUUUAUUUUUUGUAUCUUCUUUGCUUAUUCCAUUCUUUGAUUUAGACAGUGAAGAGAAACUGGUAAGGGGUUUUUGUUUUGCUUUGUUUUGUUUUAAUGUCAGGUGUAUGGUAACAUUUAUUUUUAAAAAAGAAAUAAGACACUGAGUUCUUAUAUUCACACAAUCUAUGUGAAUCAUUAACUCAUUUCUUCUUCCAUUCGUUCACCAAAUAUUUACACAGCACCGUCUCUCUGCAGACAUCAUUCUGUGGGCAAUCAAGGAGAGAACAAGCCAUAUUGUGGAGGAAGCCAGAGAAAGCAGUGCCAAAACACCUGUCCCCUGGGAGCCAACAAGCUACUUUAGGAAACACAGCACGUCCAGGGCCUAGCAUACCAUAGGUGCUACAUAGGUGUGGGCCAUAUUGCACUGUAACCACAUAAACAAUUGCAUGUCUCCAAUUCAACCGCAUGUCAACGUGUCCACAUGAACACAGACCAACCUGAGAAGCUGUGGGCUGGCAUCACAGGCAUUACUCAGAAAGCAAGACCAUUAGAGUCUACUAAUUUAUUUAUUUUUUAUUCAUUUAUUAUUUACUUUUUUGCUCUUUAGGGCCACACCACAGCAUAUAGAAAUUCCCAGGCUAGGGAUCAAAUCAGAGCUACAGCUGCCAGCCUAUGCCACAGCCAUAGCAACGUGGGAUCCCCAAUCCACUGACCAAGCCCAGGGAUCGAACCCUCAUCCUCAUGGAUACUACUCGGAUCUGUUUCUGCUGCACCACAACAGGAACUCCCAGACUCUAAUAACUUAAAUUCACCCAUACUAUUUCAGUAAAUUUUCUCAGUGUAGCCCUUGCUUGUUUGUCCCCUUAAAAUUGGGAUGUACUUUAAGAAUUUAGGCUCUGAAAUUAGACUAUCCAGACUGUUUUUCAUAGAUAUAUGUUACUUAUAAUAAAACACAAGAUCUAAAGAUUUUGAGCAUUCAGUCAAUGGGUUUCACCAAAUGUACAGACCUUGUAACCACCACUUAAAUAAGAGAGGCCAUUUCCAUCACCCUAGAAAGUUUCCCUAUGCCCCUUACCAGGGAAUCGCUUUCUGAUUUCUAUUACUAUACAUCAAUUUUGUCUGUUCUUGGAAUUCCUGUUGUGGCUCAGCGGUAAACGAAUCCGACUAGCAUCUAUGAGGAUGCGGGUUUGAUCCCUGGCCUCACUCAGU
rnacentral:lncRNA from 1 species